UGGGGAAUAUUGCGCAAUGGGCGAAAGCCUGACGCAGCGACGCCGCGUGAGGGAUGAAGGUUUUCGGAUCGUAAACCUCUGUCAGAAGGGAAGAAACCGCACUGUGCUAAUCAGCAGUGCCUUGACGGUACCUUCAAAGGAAGCACCGGCUAACUCCGUGCCAGCAGCCGCGGUAAUACGGAGGGUGCAAGCGUUAAUCGGAAUUACUGGGCGUAAAGCGCACGUAGGCUGCUUUGUAAGUCAGGGGUGAAAUCCCACGGCUCAACCGUGGAACUGCCUUUGAUACUGCUUAGCUUGAAUCCGGGAGAGGGUGGCGGAAUUCCAGGUGUAGGGGUGAAAUCCGUAGAUAUCUGGAGGAACAUCAGUGGGGAGGGCGGCCACCUGGACCGGUAUUGACGCUGAGGUGCGAAAGCGUGGGGAGCAAAAAGG
rnacentral:rRNA from 1 species